UGUUGUGGGGGAUAACUAGUUGAAAGACUAGCUAAUACCGCCUUCGAUCUAAGGAUGAAAGCGGGGGAUCUUUGGACCUCGUGCUAUUGGGUCGGCCGAUAUUUGAUUAGCUAGUUGGUGAGGUAAAAGCUCACCAAGGCGACGAUCCGUGGCUGGUUUGAGAGGGCGGCCCGCCCCCCUGGAAAUGAGACCCCGGUCCCAGACUCCUUCCGGGGGCAGCCGUGGGGAAUUUUGGACAAUGGGGGCAACCCUGAUCCCGCAAUGCCGCGUGAGUGAAGAAGGCCUUCGGGUUGUAAAGCUCUUUUGUCCGGGAAGAAACGGUAAGUGCUAAUAUCCCUUGCUAAUGACGGUACCGGAAGAAUAAGCCCCGGCUAACUACGUGCCCGCCGCC
rnacentral:rRNA from 1 species